GCCUCAUGUACUUGGGACCUCAGUGCAUCAACUCAAACCUCAGCCCAUUAUAAUAGAUGUGAACAGGUUCUGUAGACCAAUUGCCAAUAGUCAAAAAGCAUAAAUGAUUCAUAGAAUAUGGAAUGGGUAGAAUUUCAAACACUUCUACUACAAUAGUAAUUACAAUACUUUAAACUAAACAUUUUGAUCUCUGAUAAAGAAUUUGAAUGAUUUCUCUGAUGAAGACUGGCAUUUAAUUUUAAUGAAACAAUUCAGACUAAUUCUAACAUGUGAAGAGAUUAUUAAUAAAAAUGUAAAUUUACUUUUACUUUAAAUUAAUAUUAAAGUCAUUAGACAAUGAAAAAGUCAUUGUAACACUAGCAGGAUGUGAACAAACAAUAACUCUCUUAGCAUAGAGAAUGGAGAAUUCAUUGAUUAAGGAUAAGAUCAGGAAGCUCUUUUAUGUUGUGAUUGACCAUUGUAUUCUAAAAUGCCUUAAAGAUUUGUGAAUUUUUUGGUGUGGAUAUUUUCUUGAACUUUACUUUACUUUACUUGAACUUUACUCGAAAAUUACGCUCUGUGCUUUCUCAGACAGUCUCCAUGAGUUGUAGUGGUUAAGAUAUUUCACCUUAUAAUCACUUGGGUGAUCUAACUCUUCACACAUCUAAGCUCUGCGCAUUUCCAAUGGUUUCUGCAUCCAGUGGUGGAAUAUGAAAUUUGCUUGCAUAUCUCUCAAGAUCCAGGAUCACCUUCAAACUACAAGGAAGAAUUCCAGGAAAAUUUUGAUGGAAGCAUCUAAUUAUACUUGAAGUAAAAUAAUAUGUAAGAGAACAAAGGCUUCUGUACUUAAUUUUGGAAAGAAGAUUGUAAAAGUUUUUAUUUUAAAUGAGGAAUAGAUUUUUAAAUGGAUAUGAACCAUUGAAAAUAAAUUGUAAUUCUUCAACUUUGCCUUUCAAACAGGAUCUUAAUCCUCUGUUUCAACAUUUUGCAACAGAGUCAAGGGACCUCUGAAAUAUGCUUCUUCUUUUCCUUUAUUGUCCUUGGAAUUGCAGAACCUUCAAAAAGUGAUAAAUUUGUUUUUUGGGAGUAAUUUGGACAGCAGAAACACUGAGCCAACCUAGAUGUGACAUUCAGUAUUGAUUAUCUGCUUACAUUGCUUUACAUCUUUGGAAUAAAUUUAGGACCUGGCUGGCAACAUUCUGAAGAGGCUUCACCAAUGCCAACCCCAAUGAGAAUAGAUGUAAAGAGAAUCUUUGGACCAUGUCAAAUCUUGAAGGAACAACAUCAGAACCAGUGGCUGCAGUUGUUGCUUCUACUGCAGCAUUCAAGCCUCCUGAAAUCCCCACCAAGUGCAUUACAAUCUACCUGCAUCCUACCACUUACAAGCUAUGUAACCUGGAAAGGACUCUAAUCCUCUCAUGCUUUCUAAGUCAAAUGGAAUGAAAUCAAAAGACCAUUAAGAAACAAGGUAAGACAAAACUGAUGAUUUAGCUAAAAUUAAGGGUGUAGCUUUCUCUCUAUUUCCUUCUUAUUUUAAAAAGAAUUUCAUGCUACAAAGUAACAUUUGCAAAAUUAACCAGACCCUGCAGUACAGCAUAUCAUGAAUAUCUCAUCACAGCCUUAUUAUCUAGACUUAGAAGUAUGUUCAUAUUUAGCAAGGCUAGAUGGUAGGGUUUUUUUCUCUCUUUCUUUUUGGCUGCUUUAUUUGAAAAUGUUAGACAUCCUUUUAUAAAAUUUCCAAAUAAGCAUCAAAUUUAUAGUCACAUCGAAAAAUUGUCAUACCAAGAAAUAAUUUGCAUAAUUAAUAGUAAUAUCCAUAACGAUCUAACAUUAAAAACUACAUCUAUUGUUCUCACUAUGAGAUUCUUGAUGUAAGAAAAAACCAGAGUUGAAGCCAUCUUUUUCCAUGACCUGAUCAGAAAUCACUAUGUCUCAUGAAUUUAGCUUUUUGGUAAUACCAUACUUCAUUUAGUCAAACAAAUCCUUGAAUAUAAAACAUGGCCAAUUAAUAAGGCCAAACACUAAACUUUUCCAGCCUGGUAGAACCUGAUAGUCAUGAACUUAAUGCUAGCGUUUGCAAACUCCUAUGCUAUCAUGAGAUAGGUACUAAUCCCAAAUUCACCUAGUUAAUUCAUAUGCAAUAAAUGUCAAGGGAAAGGUAAUGAAUGAUAGUCAAAAGCAGCAAAAACUACUAAUAUUUAAAUAAAAUGCAUCAAAAGAAAGAUAAAUUGGAAGGGAAAAACUCAAGCAAAGAUCAUGAACUUAAAUGACAACUUAUACAAAAGAUAGUUUAAAAAUAAUAACUUUCAUUAUUCCAAGAAAACAUAGGAAAGAUAAUUUAAGUCCUCAUCAUUUCUCAGUGUACUUUAGAAUAACCUAAUUGUUCCUUUUGCUUCCACUGACGUUCCUUUUAAAACAGCCUUUUUCACAGCUGCCAGAUUGAUAUUUUUAAAGCAGAGGCUUGACUUUUUUACUCCCUGAUGGAAGAGGUUCCUUAAAUGAAAAUUCCACAGCUUGAUGUUGAAAACCUUCCUAGUUUGGCUUUAGUCUAACCUUCCAGAUAUAAUUCGUAUUACUUUCCUUUAUAUUGUUUAUUCCAGGCAAACUGUCUUAUUUGCUAUUCCAUUAAAAAAAGAUAUUCCUUUUCUUGCCUGUGCUCUGUCAUUCUUCCAUGCCUUGAAUUCAUUUUAUCCUCAUCUCUUAAACUUGGAAUUCUUAGCAUUCUUCAAGGCUCUGAAAAGAAGACAACUAUUACAGGUUAUCUAUUCUGGUCCCCAGGAUUGUUGACAUUUGAUACUUGCUCCAACCACAUAUAACUUUGUUUUUAUAUAUUUAUUUAUUUAUAGUCCUUUCUUCACCCUACAUCUAGUAGAUAUAGGUUCUGGAAUAUUUAAAAAAAAAAUUGUACCCACAAUUCCUAACUCAGGGCCUUAUUCAGUCAACACUUAAUAAAUACUUAUUGAAUUGAACUGAAAUAUCAUUAGUAUGAUUAGAUGACAACUAUUGACUGAAUUGUUUGUACAUUUGAAAUAUAAACAUACACAUUAGAAAAUGCAUCCCAGAAAUUUAAGGUUCAUUAACAUAUUAAAUGAAAACCUUAAAAUUAUUUUUAUAAAGAGAAACAUUUCAAUAAAUUAUUCCUAAUCAUGCUUUAGCUGUCUACAUGAUGAAAAACAAACAUUUGGGCUAAAAAUCAUCUUUCAAUACAGCAGAAAAUAUUUAUUAAAUAAAAUUUUUAAUGAAAUAUUCUUCCAAGUGCAUCCCAUUUUUUUCAUUAAGAUUAUUUCUUCUCAAAUAUGUCACUGUAUAGAUAGAGACUCAAUAAAUUAUUGAAUUAAUGUUGAAAGUUUUUUCCCCCUUCUCUCUCUUUUUAGAGUCAAUCUCCCAAAGCAGCUUUUUAGAUAGAUUCAGGCCGUAAAAAUACUUUCAGUAGGUUUGCCAGUUUCAUAACUAUAAACAGUAGGUGGUAGAGAGUAUCAUUGGUCUAAAGAACAGUGUUGUGGGUCAUCUUUUCAAUUUUUAUUAAAUUUCUUUCUGACCUACAGUCUUGCUUCUUUUAGGAACAAUCUAAUUUCUUUUAGGUCUUGAAAAUCCAUACUGGUGUGUAUCCAACUAACGCCAGAAGCAAAGACAUUUAAAAAACAAAAUACAAUCUCAGAGCAUUCUUAUUGAAAUAUGUAACAUUUACCUUUUUUCAAUAAUUUAUUAUUUACUUUCUAUCAGAAAAAAAUGAGGCAAAUAGCACAUAAAGUUCAUUAUUGUUUGUUAUUUUGUGUCUCAAAAUGAGAAAGCGUAUAAAAUGCCAAUUUGCAUUUCUGUCUUUAGUUGAUACUGGCAUCCCAACAAAGCAUUUCUGGCUGUUGUGACUUUAUGUGGAAUGUGGCUUUUGCUUAAAUGAAAGCUGCAUAUAAAAAGAUCUGUACAGAGCACCUAGAUUUCUUUGGAUUGACUGAUACCAGAAUGUGAGGGUGCUCAAAGUGGUGAGCAGCUCUACAGGGUCAUAAUUUCUGUCAGUGAGAAGCACUCUGCCUACUCUAUCAGUGGCUUAUGCUUUCAAAACUUAAUGGAUACAGUGCUUCUUCCUCCUUUGGUGUCCUUGGUUUCUGAAAAUGGCACUAUGGCUUCUGACCAUACUGCUGUCCAGAACUGUUGACCUAUGAUGAUAGACAAAGGUUUAUGUUGAUCAUAGAUCUUUUCUGCAGAUCAAAAUUCUUUUUUCUAUUUAAAGCCAAAGGGACUAAUUUUCCUGAUUACUUUCUCCUCUCUUGUUCUCUUUUUCCUUAAUUGCCUUGCAUUUAUAUGUACAUAUUUUGUAGAUAUUUAUUUUGAAUUAAUGUAUAGGGGUACUCCUUAUCUACCCCAAUAAAAUAUAAGCUCUUUUAGGGCAAAGAUUGUUUCAUUUAUAUCUUUGCAACUUAAGGAUCUAACAAAAUGACUGAAAAGUACUAGAUUCUUAAUAAUUGUUUAUUGAUUGUCUCUCUAAAUCAAAUAAUCCAAAACAGAGUGUCUAAUGCAAUAUUCCUGCACAACUAUUUUUGUUUUUUGGGGAGAAAGAUAAGUAGGGAAGGAAAGAAGAAAGGAAAGAAAGAAGGAAGGAAGGAAAGAAGGAAGGAAGGAAGGAAGGAAGGAAGGAAGGAAGGAAGGAAGGAAGG